AUACAGGGGGUGCGAGCGUUAAUCGGAAUUACUGGGCGUAAAGAGUACGUAGGCGGUUGCUUAAGUCAGAUGUGAAAGCCCCGGGCUCAACCUGGGAACUGCAUUUGAAACUGAGUGACUAGAGUUUAAGAGAGGGGAGUAGAAUUCCGGGUGUAGCGGUGAAAUGCGCAGAGAUCCGGAGGAAUACCAGUGGCGAAGGCGGCUCCCUGGCUUAAAAAUGACGCUGAGGUACGAAAGCGUGGGUAGCAAACAGGAUUAGAAACCCUAGUAGUCCC
rnacentral:rRNA from 1 species